rnacentral:misc_RNA from 1 species
AUUGUUUUUUAAUAAAAACUAGAAUGAAAGGUUAUACAUUCAAAUUUCUUUAUUAAUUUUUAAUAAAUAAUUUAUAUUAAAUAUAAAAAUAUAUUUAUAAAAAAAAAAGACGACAAGACCCUAUUAAAUUUUACUUAUAGUUUAGCUGGGGAAGCUUUUCAAUUAAAAUUUUUUAAAUUAAAUAAAUAAAAAUCUAAUAAAAUUAAAAUUUUAAUAAAUUACUAUAGGGAUAACAGCAUUAUAUUUUUUUAAAGUUCAUAUUAAAAAAAAUGAUUGUGACCUCGAUGUUGAAUUAUAUUUUCUAUAUUUAAUGCAAUAAUUAUAAAAGUAGAUCUGUUCGAUCUUUAAAAUAUUACAUGAUUUGAGUUCAAACCGGUGUAAACCAGGUUGGUUUUUAUCUUUUUAUAUAUUUUUCUAGUACGAAAGGACAAAAAAAUUUUUAUUUUAAUAAAUUAGCAAAUAAAUGCAUUAGAUUUAGAAUCUAAUUAUAUUUAAUAAUU